rnacentral:rRNA from 1 species
GCGCGAAAACUUUACAAUGCUGGCAACAGCGAUAAGGGAACCUCGAGUGCCAGGUUACAAAUCUGGCUGUCGAGAUGCCUAAAAAGCAUUUCAUAGCAAGGGCCGGGCAGGACCGGUGCCAGCCGCCGCGGUAACACCGGCGGCUCGAGUGGUAACCGUUAUUAUUGGGUCUAAAGGGUCUGUAGCCGGCCGGAUAAGUCUCUUGAGAAAUCUGGCAGCUUAACUGUCAGGCUUUCAGGAGAUACUGUCUGGCUCGAGGCCGGGAGAGGUGAGAGGUACUUCAGGGGUAGGGGUGAAAUCUUGUAAUCCUUGAAGGACCACCAGUGGCGAAGGCGGCUCACCAGAACGGACCUGACGGCAAGGGACGAAAGCUAGGGGCACGAACCG